AGCGAACGCUGGCGGCAGGCCUAACACAUGCAAGUCGAACGAACCUUUCGGGGUUAGUGGCGGACGGGUGAGUAACACGUGGGAACGUGCCUUUAGGUUCGGAAUAACUCAGGGAAACUUGUGCUAAUACCGAAUGUGCCCUUCGGGGGAAAGAUUUAUCGCCUUUAGAGCGGCCCGCGUCUGAUUAGCUAGUUGGUUGAGGUAAUGGCUCACCAAGGCGACGAUCAGUAGCUGGUCUGAGAGGAUGAUCAGCCACAUUGGGACUGAGACACGGCCCAAACUCCUACGGGAGGCAGCAGUGGGGAAUCUUGCGCAAUGGGCGAAAGCCUGACGCAGCCAGGCCGCGUGAAUGAUGAAGGUCUUAGGAUUGUAAAAUUCUUUCACCGGGGACGAUAAUGACGGUACCCGGAGAAGAAGCCCCGGCUAACUGCGU
rnacentral:rRNA from 1 species